rnacentral:rRNA from 1 species
UACGAAGGGUGCAAGCGUUGUUCGGAUUUAUUGGGCGUAAGCGCACGUAGGCGGACUCUUAAGUCGGUGGUGAAAUCCUGGAGCUCAACUCCAGAACUGCCUUCGAUACUGAGAGUCUCGAGUCCGAGAGAGGUGAGUGGAACUGCGAGUGUAGAGGUGAAAUUCGUAGAUAUUCGCAAGAACACCAGUGGCGAAGGCGGCUCACUGGCUCGGUACUGACGCUGAGGUGCGAAAGCGUGGGGAGCAAACAGG